AGUUAGAGGGUUGCGUUGACAUGUGUAGCUCUCCGCGGACACUGCGCCCUGCUUGCAGCAAAAAUUAAGAACUUUGCACUCGACGUUGCGCAAAGUUCGCUGCCCCACGCAGAUAAAGAUGAACUGAGUUCACUCGGUGUGUGUGUGUGUGUGUGUGUAUAUGUAUAUGAGCGACUGCGCCGCCCCUGCCGCCGUGCGGAACAAUAAUCCUGCGGGGGUUCGUCACACUGCGCCGCUGGACUGCUGCGGAGGACUCAACAACGUCGAUUAUUCCAAGAUGGACCUGACGCUAAUGGAGGAACUCCUGAAGCGCCUUGCCUUUCAUGACCACAGCUUUUGUGUCGCCGUGAUUACCAUCAUUUUGAACCCUCUCUUCUGGAAUGUGGUGGCCAGAUGGGAACAUCGUACUCGGAGAAUCUCCAGGCUCUUUGGCAGCCCUUACUUGGCCUGUUACUGCCUGGGCUUCGUCAUCGUAAUGCUCAACGUCUACCGUAGCCACAGUAUGACUGUGGCGAUGAAGGCCCAGGCCAGGUGGGAUGUGAUGGACACCACGGGUAUCUUCUAUGCUGGGAUAGCUCUCAUCGCGCUGGGCACUCUGCUGGUUGUCAGUAGCUUCCUGGCUCUGGGAUAUACUGGGACAUUCCUAGGCGAUUAUUUUGGCAUCCUGAUGGAUGAAAAGGUGACAGGAUUCCCCUUCAACGUCGUAGAAAACCCGAUGUACUGGGGCAGCACAGCCAACUACCUCGGCCUGGCACUCAUUGGCGCCAGUCCUGUUGGACUCGUCCUGACUGCCAUCGUAGCCGUGGUGUACAAGGUGGCAUUGAGAUUCGAGGGAUCGACUUGAAGCUGAAGUUUGCAGAAAUGUCUGCACAGGAUUUCGACAGACUGACCCCGACAACAGCUGAAGAAGAUCUCGGAUCAAUGUACAACCGUUCACUGAGCAGAUCUAUCAGGAGAGGAGUCGGCGCAGCAAGCGUGAAUAAUGGCCUCCCAGACGCUUCCUGCUCCCGGUGUCUGGCCGAGGAUUCCCCCAUCCUGUCACGUGGACUGACGGGUCCUUCCCCGGCAGCCUGGAUCACCGGUCCGCCGCCGAGAGCGGACGCGGAGGGAAUGUUCCCACCGCAGCCCUGUCGGGCUGAGCAUAAACGUUCAGCAAGAAAACCCAAUAACUGUAUUUGUUCAAAUCUUGAGCCAGUCUUCUGUGUACACCACGUGUAGAAUAGGAACCCACCCACCUUAACAGAGACUAUACACAAGUCUACGUCUGAUCUUUUACAUUUAGAGUCGCUGGACAGACGUCGUGGUGCAGGUGGACCGGACCGUCUACCGACCUCCGCCUCCAAAUCUAACAAGCAGUGUUCAUCGGUGUUACAUGUUCACCUACUUCUCCGCAGCAUUAGGAAUCAAAAAGAAAUUGUUUUUUGCUCAUGAGUAUAUGUUGAGCCGAGCUGUGAUCUUGAAACUAUUCCUUACUGUAUUAUUCCAAGUGUUAUGUGUUGUAUUACUAUGUGGACACAAAACAGCAUUUUGCAGUCACUGUUAUUUUUGACAUAAAAAGUGUAAGUGGCUCCAUUUCAA